UGUGACCUCCAGCUUGAGCAGAAAAGCUCCUCUGAUUCAUGGAUUUUCUCACACUCAUUCACAGGGUUAACUAGAAGUGUGUCACUUCUAUCCUCCCAUUGUCGAGCCAGUGGGUAUCUGAAUAUUUUCCAUAUCAAAGACAUGAGAACAGAAGUCAGAGACUUUUGAUGUUGUGUGCAGCCAUGUAACGCUGCUGUUGUUGGUGCAAUGUAUGUUAUUUCAUCUCUAAGUUAUGCUUGGAAAUGUGCUUACAUUAAAGGCAACACUUUUUACAUCUCUAUGGUAAUAUCUGAGUCAGAGGUGAGUGACGUUAUGCCACCUACUAUAGAUGCUCAGACAAUACAAAACAGACCUCCUGUGCAAAUAGAUAUUGAGCACAGCCUGCUCAAUGUGUGUGUGUGUGUGUGUGUGUGUGUGUUUAUGCGCAACAAAAAGACAGAAAAAGGUGAAAAGUCACUGACGCCAAUAUGGGGUGGAAAACGGACCUUGCUGUUGACAGAAUGAGAUGAAAAUGAGAAUUUGUGUGAAAGAGAGUGAGACAGAAAGAUAGCAACAGAAGAGGUGUGAUGCUUGAGUCAUGUACUUGGAUCCCUUCACAGCCGAGAACAUUUGGAAGGCUUAAGUGUGCACGCACACACGUGCGAACGCACCCUCGUUGGCAGCUCUCGGCAUGCUGGUACGCCUUGAGAGAGGCCCACUGGGAGACAGACGUUCCUCAUCGCAUCACACAAGCGGGAACCACGCAAAUGCAUGCCUGCACACACGCACACCCACAAAGAUGCAGACAAAAGUUUCCUGAUCUGGACCUCCAGAACUGGAGCUGGGCGAGAGACCUAGGAGGACAACGGAUGAAGCUGAGUAGAGAAAAGGAGAGAGAAGCUGUUGGUAAUUCUCGGACUGUCUUUUAGUUUGUGAAAUAAAAGGCAGCAGACAGACUGUGAGCUGGCUUUCUCAGUAAUAUUAGCUGGCUUGCUAUGUCUUGUGUUUUUUCACCCGCUUCAUGUUUGGCUGUGUUAGAAAAGUUGCAGACUCGAAAUUUUUUGAUAAUUAGUAAUGUAAUCAUAAUCAAAUGCACAUGUACAGCUGGCCAUUUUUACGACAGUAGUAUUACAACUGGGGACGGCAAAACGCAACAAAUAACAAAUCUGAAAUGUCACAUUAAUGGAAAAAAUUAGAAAUGCUUACAGAAAAACUUUAUUCUGUUUAAGGAUGAAAUCUGGUAACUCUUCCUCUUUUAUUUAGGAAGUGACCAUAGUCUGAGCAAUCUUGUGGAACAUUUUUACUGUUUCUUUUUUUCUUUCCCUUUUUUCACUUCCCAUUUUUUUCCAGUUUGUAGGUAUAUAAUAAUUAUGUACAUGCAAUAAAUGUAUCAGUGUUCAUUAUUGGUCUAAUAUUGACAUACUUUACAUUCCUAAUAGUUCAAACACGUAGGUAAAAGGACGGAUGAAUAUGAAUUUAUUGCUCUGUCUUAUAUUCAUUGUUUGGGGAUUUUACCAAGCCGCCAUUUGGCACUUGAAUGUAGUAUAGGAAUACAGUGCAGAUAAAUCAAGUCUUGCAGGUUCUUAUCGAUCCUGGUGGAGCCUCCUGCCAUGGUCCUGCUAGAUUGCCAUUGCCAAUACUGUUGUUGCUGUGCACCUGUCUGUCUGUCUGUCUGUCUCUCUCUCUCUCUCUGCCUCUCUCUCUCUCUCUCUCUCACCCCAACUGGUCGAGACAGACGACCACCCACCUAGAGCCGGAGGAUCUGUCCUAGGCUUCUGCCUUUUAACAGGCAGUUUUUCCUUGCCCUUGUCGCCAAGUGCUUGCUCAUGGUGGUACAGUUGGGUCUCUGUAAUUAAUGUUUUAAAGAGUUCGGUCUAGACCUGCUCUAUUUGAAAAGUGUCCUGAGGUAACUUCUGUUAUGAAUUGGCGCUAUACAAAUAAAAUUGAAUUGAAUUGAAAUCACA